GGGAAAGGUCCUUCCACAUCCUCCCGAGAGUCUUCUCUGGGGCUCCCGAAGCUCAGUCCGCCGCUCAGCAGCCUCUGCCAGCGGCCCCAAGUCCGUUGACGGCGCGCGGCUCUUCCACCAGAAGCUCCGAGUUUUCCAGGAGGGUGAGUUUGACCGAAUCCCUGCGUGUUCUUCACUUACUGUGGAUAGUGUCAAAUCGAGGUGUCUGAAAUACUGUUGGAGCCAGAUCGGUGAAGACAUUUCGAGAUGGUUUUCUUAACUCCAGCGCAAUGAGGCUGUCCUGUUUUUCUGGUACACCACAAGUGCUAAUAAAGAAAAAAAAAUAAAUGUUUUUCUGUUAAA